AGUGAACGCUGGCGGUAGGCCUAACACAUGCAAGUCGAACGGCAGCACAGAGGAGCUUGCUCCUUGGGUGGCGAGUGGCGGACGGGUGAGGAAUACAUCGGAAUCUACUCUGUCGUGGGGGAUAACGUAGGGAAACUUACGCUAAUAGCGCAUACGACCUACGGGUGAAAGCAGGGGAUCUUCGGACCUUGCGCGAUUGAAUGAGCCGAUGUCGGAUUAGCUAGUUGGCGGGGUAAAGGCCCACCAAGGCGACGAUCCGUAGCUGGUCUGAGAGGAUGAUCAGCCACACUGGAACUGAGACACGGUCCAGACUCCUACGGGAGGCAGCAGUGGGGAAUACUGGACAAUGGGCGCAAGCCUGAUCCAGCCAUACCGCGUGGGUGAAGAAGGCCUUCGGGUUGUAAAGCCCUUUUGCUGGGAAAGAAAUCCAUCUGGUUAAUACCCGGGUGGGAUGACGGUACCCAAAGAAUAAGCACCGGCUAACUUCGUGCCAGCCGCCGCAGUAA
rnacentral:rRNA from 1 species